GUUGCCAUUGCCUUCUCCAAGAAGCUCAGCUGCUAGAAAGUCUCUAGAAAGUCUCCUGAUUCUAAGUGGGCUCUAGGGGGCGCUGCACUGUGCGGUUUGUCUUGAGUCCAGGAGGUGCUGCAGUCUUGCUUCUCACGGAGGUUUGAGAGAAGAGCUUGCUCUACAGAGAGAAGAUACGGGUGCCCGGAAGCACCAGGGGCCAUUUGUAAAACGCUGUGCUCGUGGAGAACAUAGUCUCUGGGGUGGUGCCAUAUCUCCAGCAAACGUGAGCUGCAAAGGAGCCCCCAUCCAGCCCAGCUUGAGCCAUGGCCUCUGCACACAUCUGGACACUUGGGAUUCUGUUUACACUCAGUGGGCUGACAGCUCAGUUGGUGACUCAGCCAGAAGCUGUGAUCCCUGUCGCGGAAGGGGAUCCAGUGACUGUGAAAUGCACCUAUUCAGUUUCGGGGAGCCCUUAUCUUUUCUGGUAUGUCCAGCAUCGCAAUCAAAGUCUCCAGUUCCUUCUGAAAUACAUCGGAGGGGACAGCUUGGUUAAAGGCAACUACGGUUUUGAGGCUGAAUUUAACAAGAGCCAUACCUCUUUCCACCUGAAGAAACCAUCUGUUCUAGGGAGUGACUCUGCCUUGUACUUCUGUGCUGUGAGCGACACAGUGGUGGGGGCAGCAGGGAGAGCUGAAUACAAACCCCUGAGCACAGAAAACCUCCUGAAACCUUAUUAUCCCUCCACAAGGCGGCGGUGUGGCUCUGGGAUUUGUCCUUCAUUAUAACUUUUUUUUUUUUUUUUUGGUAAAGCUACAAAAUUUGUUCA